rnacentral:rRNA from 1 species
UACGUAGGUGGCGAGCGUUUGUCCGGAUUUACUGGGCGUAAAGAGCGCGCAGGCGGUCGUUCAAGUCGCGUGUGAAAGCCCCCGGCUCAACUGGGGAGGGUCACGCGAUACUGAUCGACUCGAAGGCAGGAGAGGGUAGUGGAAUUCCCGGUGUAGUGGUGAAAUGCGUAGAUAUCGGGAGGAACACCAGUGGCGAAGGCGACUACCUGGCCGUGUUCG